rnacentral:siRNA from 1 species
AGGUUUCUUUGUUCGUUUCGACGC